AAACUCUCAUUAUUAAAUUGUGGAUUGUUAGUUAAUAGCUCUUCGUAUUGCUACUAUUUUUGUUUAUCUACAAGAUUUGGUUAAUCUACAUGUGCUCCUUCGCCCAAGCAAGUGGAAAACUAAGGUUCUUUAUUGAACUUCCUUGUUAUUACAAUAAGCUAUUGAGUGGAAUUACAUCGCCAAUGUAUUCUUAAAUUCCUUAAUGAGCUCCUGCGCAAUUUGGUUUCACAUCACCAUGACACCUAUUUAAAAAUGAUAUCAUCACUUACCCAAUUUUAACACCAUGAUUUUUUCAAAAGAUCGACUUUCAUGGUCCAGUUUCUGCUUUCUUCUAAGGAAUUGCUGGAGAUAUUUACUAGAUACCAAUCAUCUGAAAUGAAAUUAGGAAUUCCUUUCAUAUCUAACAGCCAUUGGAGUGGUUCCAAAUGCUCGAAUGACUACUUGUGCUAAAAAAAAGAUAUGUUUACUAGGGUUAUUUCUAAUCAAACUGUGUUUUUUCCCUGUUAACUCACAGAAUGGUAAUCAUAUUCCCAUAUGCUUCAAGCAAACUCAAGAAGGCUUUGUGACCGAAGGAAAUUGAGGCAGAACAAACUCACGGGUGGUUAUUUUGCAUGUGAUUGUGAGUGUGUAAAGAGCUUAGAUUGAUGCCUCAUGUGUCCUUGAUCAAUCACUCUUGAAUUUCGUCAAGUUUGUAGCCGAAAACAGGAUAAAAUAGCAGCGAUUCGACGUGGGCAGCAAGGUAAAACCUCGGGUAGCAACAAGGGCACAGUUGGGAGGGUGUUAUGGAACAUACCAACAGCAUAAGAUAGCAGCCCAGCACUUAAUGGCAGCACAUAGGAAAGGGUGUAUGAGUAAUGAGAGAAGUUAUGGUUGCACUUAAUAACAUUUAAUGGGACUAGGGAAAUGAGAUAUGAUUAAUGGUUUGGAUUAAUGAGGAGGCCUUGGAAAGUUGAGAAAUUAAUUUGAGCUCUGGUAAAGGGAAUAAUAGAUAAUGAGAUGGCUCAUUAAAUGACAUUGGAAGUGGAUAUCAUAAUGGAAAGGUUUGGGAAAGUGGAGGGAGAAUUAAUGGCUGAUUUUGGGAAGGGUGAGGUGGCUUGGGAAAACUCCAAAAUUAAUUAGAUUUCAGAAUUUGAAAGUUUAAUUAAUGUUUGGUGGAAUGUGAAGGGUCAAAGGAUAUGAAAAGUCAUUUUGAAGGCUUGGGAGUUGGGGGGCUGAUUUUGUGGUGUUGGUAGGGCUCUCGGUGGUAGUUGGAUUGGGAUGAUUUGGGGUUUCCGUUGGUUAAGGAGGUGGGAUAGCGGUCAUUUGUUGGGUGGUGGGGAAAAUGAAUGAAAGGUGGCUGUUUGGGAAUGAAAGAAAUGUUGUGUGAUGGAAGGGAUGGUAGUUGGUUGGUUGUUGGAUGUAGAAAACAACAAAAAAAUUUGCAGUUUGGGAGGGCUGUAGGAGCAGUACAGAACUUGGGAUUACUAGUGGGGUUGGAAGGAUGGACGGUGGGGUGGUUGUUGGAGUUCGGCCGGAUGGGUGGGAGAGGGUGGUGCUGCUGUUUGGAGAGAUAAAGGAGGAGAAGAUAAAAGAAAUAAGAAAGAUACAGACCAAGAACCUUGCCACAGCGACGGUUGUUGGGUAAGUCGUUAGCCCUACUCCAAGGGACUUUCUCCACCACUAAACUUACUAAGAAAGGAAACUAAAAUUGAAAUUCUUAUAUAAUCAUCUUCAU